UACGGAGGGGGCUAGCGUUGUUCGGAAUUACUGGGCGUAAAGCGCGCGUUAGGCGGCUUUGCAAGUCGGGUGUGAAAUCCCCCAGGCUUAACCUGGGGAACUGCAUUUCGAGACUGCAUUGCUAGAGUAUGGGAGAGGGAAGUGGAAUUUCCGGUGUAGCGGUGAAAUGCGUAGAUAUCGGAAGGAACAUCAGUGGCGAAAGCGACUUCCUGGACCAAUACUGACGCUCAUGUGCGGAAAAGCGUGGGGGAGCAAACAGGAUU
rnacentral:rRNA from 1 species